rnacentral:rRNA from 1 species
AGCGAACGCUGGCGGCAGGCUUAACACAUGCAAGUCGAACGCCCCGCAAGGGGAGUGGCAGACGGGUGAGUAACACGUGGGAACGUACCCUUUGGUUCGGAAUAACUUGGGGAAACUCAAGCUAAUACCGGAUAAGCCCUUAUGGGGAAAGGUUUACUGCCGGAGGAUCGGCCCGCGUCUGAUUAGCGAGUUGGUGAGGUAAUGGCUCACCAAGGCGACGAUCAGUAGCUGGUCUGAGAGGAUGAUCAGCCACACUGGGACUGAGACACGGCCCAGACUCCUACGGGAGGCAGCAGUGGGGAAUAUUGGACAAUGGGGGCAACCCUGAUCCAGCCAUGCCGCGUGAGUGAUGAAGGCCUUAGGGUUGUAAAGCUCUUUUACCCGGGACGAUAAUGACUGUACCGGGAGAAUAAGCCCCGGCUAACUUCGUGCCAGCAGCCGCAGUAA